CUUACAGCAUCUACUUGCAUCUGUAUAUCCACAAGUGAAACUCAGAGCUUAUACAAGUAUGCUGAAGGUUGCAGGGUGUAAGCUUAUACCCCAAGGAGAGUAGCCCAUGUGUCUGGAGGGGAGGCCAAAGGCAUUCCAGAUGAAAUCCAUCUUUUACAUGUGCGUGUUCCAAUGACACAUGAAAGGGUCAGAGAGGGUCAGUUAAAGGCUAUAGCUGGAGCUAUAGAAAAAAAAGAGCUGCUGAGAGCCAUGGAUCCAUGCUUCAGAGUGCAGAAGAAAACAGUUGGUUGUGUCUUUAUUGCAGGUGUACUUUUAAAGAGUGAAGCGCCAUAAAUCCAUAGCACAAUAAUGAAAGGAAUCUGUCCUUUUCUUGGUUUCACACAGCUGUGGUUUUGCUGCAAGUAAUCCUGAUCACUGGUGGCGAUGUAUGGUGCUGCCAGAGGUCCAGCUGUAGCCUGAGAGGCAGCACAAAUGCAAACUGAGGUUUUCACGCAGCGACCUGUGCUCCAGCUCCCAGACAUCUGCAGGUGCUUCUGAAUGUGCCCUUCCCAACGGUAAGUGCCUCUCUGCCCUUGUAUCCAACAGCUCUGACCUUCUGCCAAUGAGAAAUAAGGUACAGCUUCCACUGUGCCAGAGUCUGAUGCAAAUUUUGUACAGACGGUUAAGCACGAAGUAGCUGACCUAAUUACAGGAUUAAGAUCCUGUCCUUUAAGACACCAUGUUUGGUAACAGAUUAUGGUUUCAUUCUGAUUUCAUUUCUUUUGGAGAGAGAACCACCCACGGGAAAUGAAGACAAUUUUGAGCGUGUCUGAAAAAUGGAAUGACUGGAACUUCCUAAAUUUAGAACUGAAAUCUUGCUCCUGUCCUCAAAUCAACAGGCCAUUGAAUGCUGCACAUGAUUAAAAUAUAGAGGGAAACAUCUCUGAGGCUUUACUUUUUUACAGUAGCUAUUGACCUGUGAUAUCACAGAUGCUAAUCAUGCUCUUUCUGCGCUAUCUUGGAUUUACAAACACAUUUAAAUCAGUGGAUAUUAAGAUUAAUGGUGGGACCAUUACAUAGCAGCCUUCCUGUUCUUCCUUCACUUCCCAGCUGCCGUUUAUAGAAACAACCUUCUGUCUUUCAGUUUUAAAAGAUACAGCCUUAUAUCCUGGAAGAUUAGUUCUACCAGUAUUUUUAGAUAGGGGUUGCGUCAUGUGCAUAAGCAAGCAGUCUCACCAGUUUGGAAGGGCACAAAUUUGAAUCAUCCCAUUUUAUUUACUUUUUAAGCUUAAAAAACUUGACAAAGAAUCCCAAGCCUAAUUAUAAGUGAUCCUCCCCAAGGGUUCUAGUGAAUGGAAACUGAUUUUUGUUUUAUGCAGAUGUCAAAUGAACUAAUCUAGCACAUCACUGGAAUAGGCAUAUGUAAUAAAAAUUUCAUAGUCUGUUUACCUGUCUAAUUGAAUAAAUGGCCCAAACCGGGAUGAAUGCUUAAUUCAUUAACAUGCUCUUACCAGAAGUGCUGCUGGGAAUAAUCACCCUCACACUAUGCACAGUUUGUGGUUUAUCUUCUUAAAAUAAGGCAUAAGUGCUGAGGGACCGAGUGAGGGUAGAGGACUAUUAAUUUUGCUAUCUGAAAAGUGAAGAGAAAACCCAAUUAAAAAAAGAACCCAAUGUUAGUCGGUUGGACCUUAUUUCUAGAUGAUGGUAUUCAUUCUGUCACUGCAACUUGAUGAGCUGUUUAUACAGAUUUUUUGCUUGUUUCAAGGACAAUGCCUGUAGUUGAGAUUU